rnacentral:rRNA from 1 species
AACGAACGCUGGCGGCAUGCCUAACACAUGCAAGUCGAACGAAGCCUUCGGGCUUAGUGGCGCACGGGUGCGUAACGCGUGGGAAUCUGCCCUUGGGUUCGGAAUAACAGAUAGAAAUGACUGCUAAUACCGGAUGAUGUCUUCGGACCAAAGAUUUAUCGCCCAAGGAUGAGCCCGCGUAGGAUUAGGUAGUUGGUGGGGUAAUGGCCCACCAAGCCGACGAUCCUUAGCUGGUCUGAGAGGAUGAUCAGCCACACUGGGACUGAGACACGGCCCAGACUCCUACGGGAGGCAGCAGUGGGGAAUAUUGGACAAUGGGCGAAAGCCUGAUCCAGCAAUGCCGCGUGAGUGAUGAAGGCCUUAGGGUUGUAAAGCUCUUUUACCAGGGAUGAUAAUGACAGUACCUGGAGAAUAAGCUCCGGCUAACUCCGUGCCAGCAGCCGCCGCCGUAA